AAUUAUUAAGUAGUAGGUAGCCCGUGUCCUUUCCACGAAGAAAGUAUGAGAACAUUCUGAGAUAUUUUCAAUCGAAGAGGUUUUUAUUUAUAUUAAUAUUAUAUUUCUAAACCGAAACAAUUUCGUUAGAUGCGAAGAUUUCAUUCGUCGAAUUUAAUGGAAAAAUUGUCAACGUCGAGAACGCCCUUUGCUCCUAGUGUUCACGCGCGAGAGAUCAGAUAAUGGAAAUCGUUCGUUCUUAACCUUGGUCAAGAAAAUUUGACCUGACUAAGCGGACAACCGUUGCACCGAACACGUUAUCGUUGUGGAAUGCACGUUCGUAUAAAAAGAAAAAUUGAAGGCAACCAUAAAUUGUGCGGCUGGGAAGUUUAUACGUCGAUGAGGUGGCUCUUAAAGAAGUGGUACUUGUCUACAUUUAAAUUUUGGCCAGAAAUGACAAAUCCAGCAGAAAGAUUAAAUUAUUCGCAAGAUAGUAGCAGCGAUACGGAAACUGAUUAUAAAGAGACAGAUCCAAGAGGGCAACAAAGAUUAUACCAAAAUAGAUUAAGUUGUGGUGGUUCGUCCAAACCAAAACCUUGUCUGGUACAGAGGGAUGGAAGCAACGAUCGGCACUGCCAUUCUUAUAAUUCAGGCAGACAUGGCACAAAUAUAAAUCAAUCGAGCAGACUCCGUUCUGGAGUUGGGCUUGGAAAGAGUCAACAAAACCAAAGUAGAGAUAUUAUACCAUGCAACAGUUCUGCUACAGAGGCUAGUAUUCCGCAAGGUAGCGAUGAACGAAUAACAUUGAUCGUCGAUAACACAAGAUUUAUUAUAGACCCAGCUUUAUUUACUGCACGCCCGAAUACAAUGUUGGGACGAAUGUUUAGUUCUGGCGUCGAAUAUGCUCAGCCAAACGAACGCGGAGAGUACAAAGUUGCCGAUGGAAUAUCAGCGAUGGUGUUUCAAGCUAUUCUUGAAUAUUACAAAGGUGGAAUAAUACGUUGUCCUCCUACGGUCACUGUACAGGAAUUACGCGAAGCUUGCGACUAUCUUCUCGUUCCUUUUAAUGCAAAUACCGUAAAGUGUCAAAAUUUAAGAGGAUUAUUACACGAAUUAUCUAACGAAGGUGCUCGCUGCCAAUUCGAAAGAUUCUUAGAAGAUUUGAUGUUACCUUUGAUGGUAAAUAGUGCACGUAGAGGCGAUAGAGAGUGCCACAUUGUCGUCUUAUUGGAAGACGAUAUAGUCGAUUGGGACGAAGAAUAUCCGCCGCAAAUGGGAGAAGAAUAUUCGCAGACCGUUAACAGUACCGCUAUGUAUAGAUUUUUCAAAUACAUCGAAAAUAGAGAUGUAGCCAAACAAGUGAUGAAAGAGCGUGGUUUGAAAAAGAUACGUUUAGGAAUCGAAGGUUAUCCUACUUAUAAAGAAAAAGUUAAGAAGAGGGCUGGCGGUCGUGCCGAAGUUAUUUACAAUUACGUUCAAAGGCCGUUUAUACACAUGUCUUGGGAGAAGGAAGAGGCAAAAAGUCGUCACGUUGAUUUUCAAUGUUUAAAAUCUAAAUCGGUUACGAAUCUCGCAGAAGCCACUGCCGAUCCGGUAUUAGACGCCGGAGGAAAUCCAAUAAAUGCUCUCUUGCAAGCCGCAGAACCGGUACCUCAACCAGAAGCGGCACUGCCGAUGGGUUCUGACGGCGAUGUCGAAGGCGGCAUAGGGUUACCUGCCGAUCAGGACCUUGGACCUUUACCACCCGACGAGUUGUCAUGAGUCUCAUCCGUUUCUCGUAUGCUCCUAAGGUUCUUCUCAAGGAUAAGAAAUAUCAUAUCACACGACCAUUCCAAGAUCAUUCCAAAGAAAACCAAAGUCCUUUUUCUCCAAAUAUCAAACCUAAUUAAGGUUUUAUCGCAUUUUUUUUGGCAACGAAAUCAAUUGUUCCUUUAUACGUUAGUGUUCGAUAAAUAUUUCUUUUUCCUAAAUACGAAUUAUACGUUAUAUACUUAAUAUACAGCAGGGAUAGUAUAUGCCAGUGUACUAAGUAUAACUUGGGUUAUUAGACCGCAUAUACUAUGCAUACUGUACUAUUUACCAAGUAUAAAUAUUAUCAUCAUUAUUAUUAUUAUAUUAAAUAUAAGUUAUACUUUACAUAUAGUUUAGUUUAGUUAUACCGAAUGAACUAAAACUAAACUAUAACUAUAUUGUACUAUAUACACUGUACUUUAACAAGUAUAUAUAACAUAUUUUUUCAACACAAAAAUGGGGAACUUGUAUCGUAUAAAAGGUUAAAAUAAAUUUUCAUUAUUUUAUCAA